rnacentral:lncRNA from 1 species
CCAUGAUGGUUUUGAGGCCCUGGGCCUCAAGUUUGUUUUGCUUCAGCCCAAGGUAAACAUGCCUGUUUAAUUUAUGGAGAAACAUCUGCAGAGUCCAGUUUUAUGGCUUGUUCUUUGAAACGAUCACUUCGGAUACAUAAAAAAUGAGGUCAGUAACAUUGAGUCCCAAAGCAAAGAGCCGGCCUUUCCGGGCUCACCACGUAGCUUCCUCCCCGGCCCUGCUCAUGGCCCUGCCUGGCUGUCUCCUCUGCCUGGAGGCCUCUCACUCACCUUUAGGGUGGGCUCCUGGCAGGGCAGGGUGGCCUGAGGGGCCUUAGGGAGGAUUUAGGGGUGAACACCCAAGAUCCCGGGUCCAUGAGAUUCCUGGAGCCAGGAGAAGGUGGCUUCACCACUCAAUUCAGUCAUAGGGACCAGCCAGGCCCAGUCCCACAGAUGAGGAGUCCUGGAGGGUCCUAGGCCUGGUGACAGUAAUGCCCAGAAGAGAUGGGGCGUCAGGAGUCACCCGACUGGCCUGAAAAUCUGAUGGCACCUCCAGCGCCACGGCGAGCUCUGGGGCCAGGGCCACCUGCUGCAGGGACCACGGGUUGAGUGGCAACAUCCAGGCCCCAGCCACUUGCAUCUCAGCCACUGGAAAGGGGACAGCCACCAUCCGAGCCCCCCAUCCAGGGGUUCCCAUGUGGGGACACCUUCUGGCAGCCCAGCUGAGCUCCCACCCCUAGCAAACACUGCCGGCCUCUCACCCCAGAGCGCUUUCAAUGGCAGCAGCCUCCAAGGGCACCCACUGAGAGACCCCAACUGAGAGCCCCCAACCACGCCCUCCGAACUCCUGGCCAGUGGGACGGUGAGUGAGGAGGCCCGAGAUCUGCCUCACAACUCGGUAACAGAGCAGAGCAUGCCUGCUCCAAGCCGGGGUUCUCUCCAGACAU